UUACCUGAAAUUUGUAUGCAGCUGGAACAGUGCCCCUAGCGGCAAACAUAGGCAAAAGUUCCAACUCCAUACAAAUUUGACUUA
rnacentral:pre_miRNA from 1 species